UUAGAGAAUUUGGGAAAAAAUCAAUCAGAAAUAAUUUUUCCCGAUUCUUUUCUUCUCUCUCGCGAUUCUUUCUGCAACCAACGAUUUUCUCCUCCCAGAUUUCUCUUCGUCUACUGUUCUUGUGUUCAUCAAUCAAUACGAUUCUCUCUUCCCUCCCAUCGAUUCCCUUCUUCAUUUCUCUACAAUUUCAGGUUUCGUUUCUGCUCGGAGUCAUCCCUGUCUUCAUAGCAUGGAUAUACUCAGAGUUUCUGGAGUACAAGAGUGAGAGAGCAAACGUUGGGAGAGAGUAUUAGAGCAAGAAAGUCAACAAUAUUUGGGGAUCAAUAUGUGCAUUUCAACGUCAGCAUCCCUACGCUGAAGACAAGUAAAGAAGCUGGAAGCUGGAGCAAAGUGAAUCAUGAUAUCAGAGUUAUAACUUUUUUUUUACAUAAAACAGAGAGUUAUGAAAAACUGAAGUCUAUUGAAUUUAAUUUACAUCACAUU